rnacentral:rRNA from 1 species
AACGAACGCUGGCGGCAUGCCUAACACAUGCAAGUCGAACGAGACCUUCGGGUCUAGUGGCGCACGGGUGCGUAACGCGUGGGAAUCUGCCCUUGGGUUCGGAAUAACAGUUAGAAAUGACUGCUAAUACCGGAUAAUGUCUUCGGACCAAAGAUUUAUCGCCCAGGGAUGAGCCCGCGUAGGAUUAGCUAGUUGGUGAGGUAAAGGCUCACCAAGGCGACGAUCCUUAGCUGGUCUGAGAGGAUGAUCAGCCACACUGGGACUGAGACACGGGCCCAGACUCCUACGGGAGGCAGCAGUGGGGAAUAUUGGACAAUGGGCGAAAGCCUGAUCCAGCAAUGCCGCGUGAGUGAUGAAGGCCUAGGGUGUAAAGCUCUUUUACCCGGGAUGAUAAUGACAGUACCGGGAGAAUAAGCCCCGGCUAACUCCGUGCCAGCAGCCGCGGUAAU